rnacentral:sRNA from 1 species
GGACAGAAAAAAAUGCAUGAGCUCCAGUCCAAAGUGGAAGAUCUUCAGCGCCAGCUGGAAGAGAAAAGACAACAAGUUUAUAAGUUAGACCUUGAAGGACAGCGACUACAAGGAAUCAUGCAGGAAUUCCAGAAGCAAGAACUAGAACGAGAAGAAAAACGAGAAAGUAGAAGAAUUCUGUAUCAGAACCUUAAUGAGCCAGCCACGUGGAGCUUAACCAGUGAUCGAACUAGAAAUUGGGUUCUUCAACAGAAAAUAGAAGGAGAAACAAAAGAAUCAAACUACGCUAAAUUGAUUGAAAUGAAUGGAGGAGGAACCGGCUGUAAUCAUGAAUUAGAAAUGAUCAGACAAAAGCUUCAGUGUGUAGCUUCAAAACUACAGGUUCUACCCCAGAAAGCCUCUGAGAGACUACAGUUUGAAACAGCAGAUGAUGAAGAUUUCAUUUGGGUUCAGGAAAAUAUUGAUGAAAUUAUUUUACAACUACAGAAAUUAACUGGCCAGCAAGGUGAAGAGCCCAGCUUGGUGUCCCCAAGUACUUCUUGUGGCUCAUUGACUGAAAGACUACUGAGACAAAAUGCUGAGCUGACAGGGCAUAUCAGUCAACUGACUGAAGAGAAGAAUGACUUAAGGAACAUGGUUAUGAAGCUAGAAGAGCAGAUCAGGUGGUAUCGACAGACAGGAGCUGGUAGAGAUAAUGUAUGUCCAUUUUUAGCAUCUCCAUAUAUGAGAAUUAGUGCAUGCUUAUCAUUUCUGCUGUCUAGUUCAAGUUUUAAUCCUGUUAAUGUAAAACUAUCACACACCUGAUUCUUAGGAUCUGUAGAAAAUUUUAUAGGGAUGACAAUAAUAAUAUUAUUACUAAGUUAUAAUAA